CUCUGGUCGCUGUUACGUGAGGACGUUAACAGCAUCAUCGGGUGCGUUAUCAGCAACCACGGGCAGUGCCUAGAUUUUAGGCACAUGACUACCUACUUUUUCUUUUUUUUUAGCAAACUUGCCAUCAGAACAUGCAGAAGACUUCUAUAGAUUUAACGUUGAUACCGUGAUGAAAGUGUAACGUAGGGUAGGUGAAGAUGUGCGUGGUUUUGUGGCGCCUCGAGCGACGCAUAGAAGAUCGGUAUGUGAUGGGUAAAAUACCCUUUUCUUACUCUUAGCUGUAGCAUUAGUGGAGACGCAGAGUCCGACAGGCGUUUCUGACUAUCUCGUACCCACGAUAGAGUGUAUGUCAGCUUUUAGUAUGUCUUUUGUGCUAAGUUACAGGAGUGUUUAUGAGGGAAAGGGGGAAAGCCGUGGCCCUCGUGGGGAACUUGGGGAUUCUGUGCGCGCGGGUUGGGAUACAGCUUCGGUCUGGUGCGAGAUUGUUCAGUGCGCCUGGUCUCCUUGUUCGCAAAAUUGUAUUUCAGUAUUUUUUAAACCUCAACAAUUAUAUGUAAUGUUUGUGUAUUAGGCUCUGUGUUCUUCGCUGGUCAGGAUUGCUGUGUGAUUGGGAUAGUGAAGGCCUCUUCUUGGAGCGGAUGCUGUGUUCCGAGCAGGGUUCUUCGCUCGCUGUGCCUCAGGUGCUAUUCAUUAGCUUUUAGCUUCAGGGAUUUUGUAGCUAUAUACGGUGUGUUCUGUGCUUACUGUGCAUUUUAGCUUUACUCCGUUUAAAAUAAGUAACUAGAAUCAAAUGUAAUCUGGUGAUUAUAUAUAAAUACUUUAAGACAUUCCGUAUACAUUUUUUUAAAUUAAAUGGCUCACUGGACCCACCGCCUUUCUUAUUUUUACUGUCUCUUAUCUUACCACGCAAUUUCAUAAAAUCUAAAAAAUCCAGAUCAAAACCAGUAACUUCCCUGAAAUGCACAGUAGCGAUUCCUCUUGCUACUUCCUUCCUUUUUAUAGAACGUAGUGUUUAGAGUAGUUCUCUCCGCAGCAUAGCUCAGGCUUAGUGUGCAAGGGAAUUAGCUUACUAUCUUAGCCUAGACAUAGUCCUAUAGUGUGCUGCACUGCCGGAAUCCAGGGAUGAAGAAACUUCCUGCUCGUCACUAGCGCUUAUAUAGAUAACCAAUAUAUUAAAAUUAACGUAGUCCAACUGCUGCGUGCAAUAGUUAAACGAUAGGUCGGGCACGCGACUGGAAGAGAGCAGCCAGCGGAUGGAGGAGCGGAAGGACUCGAUCGGAAAAGCCUGGAGGGGAGAGCUGAAAGGAGACAAGCCACGAAGAGCUGUAUAUCGUUACAAUUUAACUGUUAAUGCCACAGCAGUUGAAGUGUAUUUAGGACAGGAGUAGUGUCAGGAUAUCGCGUGCAGCCGUAGCUGGUUAGGUACAAGCUCAGCUAGGAUAGACAGGUAACGAAUUGCACUGCGGUAUCUGAAGUGCACUGUGUAUGUCGCGGAAAGCAUUUAGCUACAGGAUAUUGUCUCAGUGGUUGCUGUAAAGAGGUUCUCCGCCAGUAGAAUAUGAUCCAUUUCAGUGGAUGUCGUUCAUGCUAGGCUUAGCUCGGAUGUUUUCAAUCCUUUCACGAUAUUGAUAUUUGGUAUCGGUUCCGACACUGUGUCCUCUCUGUCCGUCUUUGUGGUUAGGUUUGCGCAUCGCAUUUGGUCGUCCAUGAAUGAGUUGGACAUUCCCUCAUAAGCUGGACAUUCCCUAAAGUUGUGCAUAUCAAGGGUCCAUUAUCAGUCUGGUCGAAUCUUGUGCAAUGCAUGUUCAGGUUGGUUAUCAGUUGCGUGGCGCGUCCGCUAAUAACAUCCUCCGACCUUCUUUGUUCUGUGUUCUUUGGUUCGACUUCGGUUCUCUCUUAUCGGGAUAUCCCUAUCUUUCUCCACGUAAUGUCCUCCCAUUCUGGUCGUUAGCCUGUGUCGGAACCUUCUGCUUUUGAAUCUCGAACAGCACCACUGAACAAUAUCAGAUAGGCUAGUGAGGUUUAGCUGUAAGAAUACCAUACUCUAUCGCGUUAAGUUGUAUGAGGAUUAGAAUAGGAGCACCUGGGGUACAGUGAUGGAAACGUGAGCCUGGCACAUGGCGUUCUUUCUGGAUUCAUUCACGCCUAAAUAAAUGCGCCAUAAGUGAAACUCAUUUCUGAGUCUAUUUCUAUACCAGUAAUACUAGCAUAAAAUGUAAUAUUUACCGAUUACUCGUUUUUAUCAUAAAUAAAUAAAAAAAACGUUCAUGGCCAUGUGCGAGGCUUAUCACACGGUCAGCUCUGUCUCGCUCAGCUAUGAUAAGUCUGAAAAAUGACGCACUUGGUCUCUGGGGUAUACGGGUUGGGUGAGAGGCUGUCCACGAAGAUAUACAUACAGCCGUAUAUAAUAAGGAUAGGUGCAGCUUUUAGCUUUACCAUUAGUUUGUCUGCAAAGACGAAGAAGGGCACGGCUCGCGGCUACAGUGAGGGGAGUAUUAUAUAUUACUUUGGGAAUUACGAGUGUCAUGUACGCGAAUUCAUAUAGUGCUUGUGUAAUGAUGUUGCGGGGUUGUGGGCCCCUAAAUAUAGCUACGAUAGCUCGCACCGCGUGGUACCCCGACAGAGGCACCUUCGCGGUCGUCUCUCGUCGGUAAGUAUGUCGGACACACUAGGCUACGACUACCAUGGGAAUACGUGGGAAUGGAAGGGCCGUCACCGUCAUACCGGGCUCGUCCGCUGGUCUGGGUAGGUGUAGGCGCGAAACACUGGGACGGGCGCAUAUUUUUCUGGCAGCCGUUUAGGGCAGGGUCUGGAUUACUUUAGGUAGACGGGAAAGCGGACGGGUGCGCACUGCGACCGGUUAGCUUUUAUGGUUGUAUUAAUGAUAGCCGUGGCGGUGGCGGUCCUGGGGUGUCUUCUGUUCGGGAGUACGUAGGGAGUAAAGACGGUUGUCGUUAGGGAGUAAGAUUUCGUCCCUGGGUUUUUCAGAGUGUGUUGCGUGUGUAGGGUGUCAAAUGAUAGGGGAAUGACAGGAAAAGCGAGACAAUGGAAGGAGAUGGUUAUGAGUGGAAAUUAUUAGUUUAUUCUAUAGCAAACAAAAAUUGCAAAGUGUUGCUUUGACUUCGUAGUGUGACAAUUAGUAAUGUAAUUAAUUAAUAUAAACACGAUUCCACUCGUACACUAUCUCCUUCGAGGAACACUGGUCAAUCGGCCACUGGGAAACGCAACAGUAAGUUGUACCGCCGUGGGACAUUUCGCCGCGGACGUGGCGGCGCUGGAUGGAAGCACGGACCUCCCGCCGCUGGAACCCCGCUAGCUCGGUCUCGAUUAGUGGUUAUCGGUGAGAGAGUCCACACCAGCGCGAGUGAGCACAUCUGCUGUGCUCGUGUCUUGGGUUCGUACCUUCGGGACGAGUCUCUGGCCGUGGAUGAUCCCUCCGUAUAGCUGCUAAUCGCCACACACAUAUGCAUCAAAAUUAUCUCAUUUAUGCUUAGCUGUAGCUGUAUCUGCGUAUGCGGUCGAGCCUAGAUCCUCUCCAAACAUCUGUGUGUUAGGCGGUGGAGUUGGACUGCUCGGCAUAGAUGCCCGCCCGUGUUAGGCUUAGCUCGCGUACGUUCUCUUUCAGUGCGAACAUAGCGAUUGAAUAGAAAUAAAAAUUGAAGUGUGUUUUCAUGUGUGAUGUUUGGAAAAAAAAGUGUGUGUCUGUGUCUCUUUACUCGUCUUGUAUUGCUGGGGGGGGAUUCAAUAUAUAAUAUAAUUACAUACAUAAUAAUAUAAUAUAUAAUAUAAUAUAUAUAAUAUAAUAUAUAUAAUAUAAUAUAUAUAAUAUAAUAUAUAUAAUAUAAUAUAUAUAAUAUAAUAUAUAUAAUAUAAUAUCAUAUAUAUAAUUUUUUUUUUUGCAACUAUAUAUACCGAAUCGUCCCCGGCGAAGGAUUGACGGAGCGCGUGCGAGUCGGCUUAUCGCUAUAGCUUGGCUGGAUUAAUUUGCGGCUGCUGUACUAACCUCUUCCUCCUUUUCAGCAUUUCCACAUUGUUUCGAUGUGGUACACUAAUCGUUCUGCUUGUAUUUUCCAGGUUCUCACCAUAUAUUUCCCCAUAUGUUUUAAUUUAUCCGCUAUGUUUCGCUGGAACUGUCUCCCAUGCAAUUGGUUGCCCGUCGAGAAUAAUAUUGUGUCAAGGACACAGGAAUUGGAGGAACUGUUUAUUCAUGCUCUAGAGCUAGAAGAAGCGAGAGCAAUGGACGAACGAGAUAACGAUGAUGGCACAUCUUGUGCCUCACAAUGGCAACAAUUCGGAGAUUUUAUUUGAGAGAUAUAUUCAACCACAGGAAGUAUUUGGGACCAGAAGAAACUUGCUUUAAAAAAAAUCAUUUUUAUAAUUGAUAAUGAUAAGUAGGUUAGAUAUGGGUGUGGUGUUCCUUUUCGGUUUUUCUUUUUCGUUUUCCAGAGUGGUGGUUCCAGCAGCCCAUGAUCUCGAAAGAUACCUGACUAUGGAGUGCAGCCGUUGGUUCUCUAUCAUCAACAGAUGUGGUGAUAUUUUUUCUUUUCUUUUCUUUCGUAAGAUUAGAAGGCAGCCAAGAUUCUAUACUGAAACGCAUCUGAGGCUUCUGGAAGAAAAUGUUCCAUGGAAGAAAAUGAUUGCUGCAUCUUUAGGAUAGGUUGAACUCUCAUGCAAUUAGUUGCCCAUCAAGAGCAAUAUUGUGGCAAGGACACAGAGAUCGGACGAACUGUUUGUUGAGAUCAGAGUAGCUAGAAGAAGGAAGAGACCAAGAGAACAAACGAGAUAUGAUGCUCACGAUAGUACAUCUUCUGCCUUAUAAUAUCAACAAGUCGGAGCUUUUACUCAUUGAGAUAUAUUCAACCACAGCAAGAACUUCGGACCAGAGGAAGAAGAAACUGACUUUAAAAAAAAUCAUUUUUAUAAUUGAUAAUAAGUAGGUUAGGUAUGGGUGGUAUUCCUUUUUGGUUUUUCCUUUUUGUCUUCCAGAGAUGGUUCCACCAGCCCAUGGUCUCGGAAGGACUAUGGAGUGCAGCCGUUGGUUCUCUAACGUCAACAGAUGUGGUGAUAUUUUUUCUUUUCCUCCGUAAGGUUAGAAGGCAGCCAAGAUUCUAUACUGAAACGCCUCUGAGGCUUCUGGAAGAAAAUGCUCCAUGGAAGAAAAUGAUUGCUGCAUCUUUAGGAUAGGUUGAACUCUCAUGCAAUUAGUUGCCCAUCAAGAGCAAUAUUGUGGCAAGGACACAGAGAUCGGAGGAACUGUUUGUUGAGAUCAGAGUAGCUAGAAGAAGCAAGACCAAGGGAACAAACGAGAUAUGAUGCUCACGAUAACGAGAUAUGAUGCUCACGAUAACGAGAUAUGAUGCUCACGAUAACGAGAUAUGAUGCUCACGAUAACGAGAUAUGAUGCUCACGAUAACGAGAUAUGAUGCUCACGAUAACGAGAUAUGAUGCUCACGAUAACGAGAUAUGAUGCUCACGAUAACGAGAUAUGAUGCUCACGAUAGUACAUCUUCUGCCUUAUAAUAUCAACAAGUCGGAGCUUUUACUCAUUGAGAUAUAUUCAACCACAGCAAGAACUUUGGACCAGAGGAAGAAGAAACUGACUUUAAAAAAAAAUCAUUUUUAUAAUUGAUAAUGUUAAGUAGGCUAGAUAUGGGUGUGGUGUUCCUUUUUGGUUUUUCUUUUUCGUUUUCCAGAGUGAUGGUUCCACCAGCCCAUGGUCUCGGAAGAUACCACACUAUGGAGUGCAGCCGUUGGUUCUCUAGCAUCGACAGGUGUGGUGACAUUUUUCCUUUUCUUCCGUAAGAUUAGAAGGCAGCCAAGAUUCUAUACUGAAACGCUUCUGAGGCUUCUGGAAGAAAAUGCUCCAUGGAAGAAAAUGAUUGCUGCACCUUUAGGACAGAUUGAACUCUCAUGCAAUUAGUUGUCCAUCAAGAGCAAUAUUGUGGCAAGGACACACAGAGAUCGGAGGAACUGUUUGAGAUCAUAGAGUAGCUAGAAGAAGCAAGAGACCAAGGGAACAAACGAGAUCAUGCACACGAUGAGAUAUGAUGCUCACGAUAACGAGAUAUGAUGCUCACGAUAGUACAUCUUCUGCCUUAUAAUAUCAACAUGUCGGAGCUUUUACUCAUUGAGAGAUAUAUUCAACCACAGCAAGUACUUUGGACCAGAGGAAGAAUAAACUGACUUAAAAAUUUAUAAUUGAUAAUGAUAAGUAGGUUGGAUAUCGGUGUGGUGUUCCUUUUUGGUUUUUCGUUUUCGUUUUCCAGAGUGAUGGUUCCACCAGCCCAUGGUCUCGGAAGAUACCCGACUAUGGAGUGCAGCCGUUGGUUCUCUAACGUCAACAGAUGUGGUGAUAUUUUUUCUUUUCUUCCGUAAGAUUAGAAGGCAGCCAAGAUUCUAUACUGAAACGCCUCUGAGGCUUCUGGAAGAAAAUGCUCCAUGGAAGAAAAUGAUUACUGCAUCUUUAGGAUAGGUUGAACUCUCAUGCAAUUAGUUGUCCAUCAAGAGCAAUAUUGUGGCAAGGACACAGAGAUCGGAGGAACUGUUUAUUGAGAUCAGAGUAGCUAGAAGCAAGAGACCAAGGGAACAAACGAGAUGAUGCACACAAUGAGAUGAUGCUCACAAUAACGAGAUAUGAUGCUCACGAUAACGAGAUAUGAUGCUCACGAUAGUACAUCUUCUGCCUUAUAAUAUCAACAAGUCGGAGCUUUUACUCAUUGAGAUAUAUUCAACCACGGCAAGUACUUCGGACCAGAGGAAGAAGAAACUGACUUUAAAAAAAAUCAUUUUUAUAAUUGAUAAUGUUAAGUAGGCUAGAUAUGGGUGUGGUGUUCCUUUUUGGUUUUUCUUUUUUGUUUUCCAGAGUGAUGGUUCCACCAGCCCAUGGUCUCGGAAGAUACCCGACUAUGGAGUGCAGCCGUUGGUUCUCUAGCAUCGACAGAUGUGGUGAUAUUUUUUCUUUCCUUCCGUAAGAUUAGAAGGCAGCCAAGAUUCUAUACUGAAACGCCUCUGAGGCUUCUGGAAGAAAAUGCUCCAUGGAAGAAAAUGAUUGCUGCAUCUUUAGGAUAGGUUGAACUCUCAUGCAAUUAGUUGUCCAUCAAGAGCAAUAUCGUGGCAAGGACACAGAGAUCGGAGGAACUGUUUAUUGAGAUCAGAGUAGCUAGAAGAAGCAAGAGACCAAGGGAACAAACGAGAUGAUGCACACAAUGAGAUAUGAUGCUCACGAUAGUACAUCUUCUGCCUUAUAAUAUCAACAUGUCUGAGCUUUUACUCAUUGAGAGAUAUAUUCAACCACAGCAAGUACUUUGGACCAGAGGAAGAAGAAACUGACUUAAAAAAAAUCAUUUUUAUAAUUGAUAAUGAUAAGUAGGUUAGAUAUGGGUGUGGUGUUCCUUUUUGGUUUUUCUUUUUCGUUUUCCAGAGUGAUGGUUCCACCAGCCCAUGGUCUCGGAAGAUACCACACUAUGGAGUGCAGCCGUUGGUUCUCUAGCAUCGACAGAAGCAAAUACAACUGGAGCCAUAUCAAGCACAUCUAGCAUCUUCCCUGCUUCGCUUAACUGGCCUUUGGAAGCUUUGGACACAGGGGCGACUAGCUCGGACUUCCCAGGGGGGGCAAAUCGAAGUGUAUCUGUGGGAGUGCAGCCAAAGGAGACAGUGAGACUGCAGGUCUUUCCGAAGAGCCAGGAGCGCGGGAACUACCAGACUCCGUCAACGGUACAACAUCGAAGUGUCAACCUCAAGUGAACAUGUACUCGUGGAUAUUGUCUUUGUGCUUCAAGCACCUUCAGUCAACAGCUAUGUACCAUCCCACAGGACGUAAUGCUGCAAGUGCUUAGCACGCUAUGGACAACAUAGUGCAUAUACAUAUUGUUGUGACAUAUUGUUGUAUUGUUGUAUUGUUGUAUUGUUAUAUUGUUAUAUUGUUGUGUGGUUUAGGUUUAUUGUGUGUGUGACAAGUACGCAAUUGUUUUGUAUCAUGAACAAACUUGACCAGCCGAGCUGGGAGGUAUGGGGCAUUGCUCUGUACCGGCUGCACCUUCUGCAGGUUUUCCUGGGUUUUCCUCGCAGACAGAGACGAAUGUGGGUGCAGUUCCCAGGAAGUCGGCCCAGGCCGCAAUUUCGUCCCCCCAAAAUGGCGGCACCGCAUGCCUUGGACGUAAUCCUGCUCUAAACGUCCAUGACGCAUCUUUUGCGUUCCCUUUAAGCUUCACUGCGACAUGGCUCGCACCGUGCAAAUGACAGUCGACCAUUUUGCAUGUUGCGUGGAUGUUUUGAAUGUGUGCGCACGUUGUACAUACCAAACCAGGACCCACACCAAAUUAAAGUCGGGAAACAAAUGAAUCAUUACUUUUAGCCAGUACAAAUUUAUUUAAUCGUCAGUUUCAAAGAUUCUGGUAUGGUAUUGCAACAUGCACGUGCCUGUGUGUGUGUGUAUAGCAUGUGUGUGUAUGUGCAUGUGCGUACGUACGCAAAUGUUGAUGUGUCCGUUUUUAACGCUACUAAACUUCGUGGUUGAAUGUCAUUUGCCGGGCGGACUUUGCUGCAGUGAAGCCAUUAUUCGGUUCGGUUAUUUCAAAUGGUCAGGUUGGAUCCGCCUGGUUAUUUGAAAUGCAAUUUUUAAAUUAUAUCCUCGAUGCUGUGUGUGCCUUCAGGUGCACUAUAUUAUGGUUAAAUAAUGUGCCAGGAUUUUUCUGGUAUUGAAUAGUUCAUUGUGAGUGUUUCAUGAUGUGUAUUUUGUACAUGCUGAUGCUAUCUGAUUAUUGCGUGAGAUUUCUUUGUGUAUUAAAUAGUUGCUUUUGUAUGUGCUGAUGCUACCUAAAUAAUGUAUAAUGAUUGACUUCUUGUGUAUUAAAUUUGUGUGUGAUUUUCAUUCUGUACAUUAAAUUUCAGGUGCUUUCUCUUCA